CUUCUUCCUAAAAAAUUCUAAUUUCCCUCCUCCCCAGUCCCCACUAACUCUAACCUAAAUUUCCCUCCUUCCUAAAACUUUUCUGUCCCUCCUUCCUCCCAAAAGAGGCUAGAGUUGGGUAAUUUUAGUGUUUGAAUCAAGUGGAUGAGGGUUUGGAGGUUUCGUCUGGGUUGUCUCCGAAGAUUGUGAAGGCGGUACCGAAGGCGAAGACGCAUGAGGAUGUUAAACGUGGGCUGCAGAAGUUUAGGUUUAAGUUUUUGGCUGAAAGUGGGGGUCUGAGUACCAUGGAUGUUCUCUGUUAGAUUUGUGCUACUGAACAAAGAUAUGGAAUCACAGAGAAACUUUAUUAUUGAAUGUAUAAGGGGCUCUCUUGUUUUGUACAGAGGUAGAAGAACGAUGGCAAGGGAAGAAGAAAAAAAGAUGAAUUAUUGGCCUUUUUCUCACUUGGAUGAGCUUGUUCAGGCUUCUUCAGUACGGUUAUUUUGGGCUUCUUGUUGUUUCUGAUAGAUCUUGUAGUUCAUGCCCUUAUAGUGAUCAAAGAAGGUAUAUGAAACCUAACUUAAUAUGCAGGACUCAAAUUCUGAACCUUGAGGAUGGUGUAACCUUAAAAUUUUUAAGUGUCAGUCUGUAUUUUGCAUCAGUAGGUUAAAAUUAGUUUGGAAUUGGUCUAUUAAUUUUUAUAUUGAACCAGUUAAAUUUUUAGGAAGUUGCUGAAAAUUUUGGUUGGUUGCCGGCAUGGCCAGCCCUGGGGUGGGCGGGGAGGACCACCGGCCAGGGCCCGAUGUUUCGAGGGGCACGGUUUUUAUGAAAAAACUUGAUAUGUAUAUGUAAAAUAUUUUUUUAAUAAGGUACACUCAUACAAACACCAACAAAGAACCACUUACAAAUAUAUUCUUAUGGUUUAGAUUAGUUAUUAACCCCUUUCGCAUUAGGUUUAGACCUUUAGUGAGUCCAAUACCCAAUUUCGUUAAGGCCUAAGGGCACAUUUUUUCGAGCUCGAACGGGUACACAAAUUCUCAGGGCGGCCCUGGUUGCCGGCACUUGAUCGUUUCUUUACAUCAUUUAUUGACAUAAUGACAUGGAUAAGCUGGCUAUUGAUUGUUUAAGUAUUUAUUUAUUAUUUUAGUGUUCGUAGUAUACCAUAUUUGUUUGUCCAGGUAUUGGCUUCAAUUUAUGUUUUUAAUCGUACAAGGUGACUUCAGAUGCUAGUAGUUGAAUGCUGAUACACUUUUGAAGUUCAUGUCUUAUACAAAAUGGAAUAAUGCCUAGGUGCUUUUUAAUACUUAAGCAAGUGUGAUGAUUUGUUUGACACUAAAAUUUCUCUUUUGAGUAUUGGUGGAGUUCAAAUUGCAAACCUCAGCAGCAGCUGAGCAUGUGAAACUAUACAUUUGCAGAGAAUUUCUUGAGGAUUAAGUAAUCUUAUCUGAUGCUAACAAUUGAAGUUAUAUAUUUUAGUUACUUGAAAGAACCCUCAAUUAGUGUGGCGAUGAUACUGGAACUUCCAUGAAAAAGGCUUAGUGAGUUACGCUUGGUUUCUAUUGAGAUCGCCGGAUUUUUUUUCUAAAGGAAAUAGAGUUAUCAUAUUCAAAGUCACAAUCUCAGGUUGGAGAGGCAAAGUUGUAUAUGUGGAUGCGGAUAUUGAUGGAAUACGUGCAGAGUGUUUGAGAUAUUGGGCAUUGUUUGUUUUUAAGUGACUAUUUUAGAUGUUGAAGUAUGUACGUCAAAUAAUAUUUUUUGUUAUUCUAAGAUAUUUGUAAUAUAUUUGACAUGACUAUGAAAUGAAUUGUUUUUGUAGACGUGUA